CUGCUUUUCACAUAACCCCCUCCUUUUUGCCGAUCACGAAACUCCCUGGCUCUUCGCCUCCUCCAUGGUCGCUUCGUGUUCGAUCUGACGAUAGCGCCACCGGCCAUGAGCCCUCGCCGUCCGCCGGACGUGAAGGAGACCCUCCCUUCAGACCAUGCGUCGCCACCGGCCCUUGUGCUCGACGGCCUCGCAGUUCCGUCCCCUCCCAUGCCCCAUCCUCCUCAUAACCCUGCACUGGUUUUGUGGAAGCUCUAGAGGUUUGUUUCGUGAAAUACAAGAAGUUCAUGUGUAGCAUGAUUCUUACUUCAUGUGUGCCUAUUUUGUUUACCAAACUAAGUGAUGUAUGCAAUUUGACAAUAUCCUGAAACUGAGUGAAUGUUCAUACUGAAUAUUCUAGCCAUGCAAUGUCCUGAAAUAUUGCAAUUCAACUCAGCAGAUUUCUGCAACAAAUAAAAAUUACACCAUCUGAGUGCUGCCAGAAUUUCAAUGUUUGUGUUGCGUUUAACAAUCUCAUGAUUUUCAUAUCUGAAUGCUUUCAGAACACCAUUUCAAUUGAGUAUAUUUCAGGUAAGAUAGUAGACAUGCAACAGGAACUUGGUUCCAUUGAUUUCUUUUCAAUCUAGAAACAUCAUGCAUUUUAAUAGAUCACCAGACACAAUGCUUGAGCACACAGGUGGUAUAUUCUUCGAUAAUCAGCUUCAGGAUACACACAUUGUCAUCGGAACGACUUCAGAAGGCGCUGCAGAAUCAAGCUUCGACGGAGAAGCCUCCGAAGCCAUCGCGUGGGGGCUGCGCCCUGGCCGUCGAGUCAGCGUCGCAGAGACGCCGUCGCGCCGGGGCAGCGCAGCAGCUGCCGAGUCUCCGUCGCAG